CUUGUGUGGAGGGUGCGCCACCUGAAAUCGGGCUUGAAGCUCUCACCUUACCAACAAGCCGAGAGCUGAUGGCUGUUGGUCACGACUACUAUCAAAAAGCUCCUAUGAAGAUGAAUAUUUCACAUGGAGGAGUGUGCAUCUUUAUGUUGGGUGUUCUUCUGUCGUGCGACCCGGCGGCUUAUGUGCGACCUCUGGCCCAUGCCUCCUAUUUGUUCAAGGAGGGCGGUGUGAACUCUAAUUCGAUCCGGGUAUUCAAUCCCGCCGCUGAGAUGCUCAGUUGACUCCUUAACCUUGAUAGGAAGAUGGCUUAUUCAAUAAUUCGUGCAUAAGGGUAAGGAACCUUGGAUGAACUAAUGCGAAUGGGUGUAAGCCUCGCUGCUCGGAAACACCCAGUGCUGACUACACUGAGAGACACGAAAGCGCAGGUAAUGCCAGUUGGCGAAGUGGCAUUAAGCAUCCCUAGCGGUACAAAAAGAGGGGUCGUGAUGAUAUCAUCUACGUCCGUACCGCUCCUCGUGGAGUAGAUCUCGCAUCCACCAAGUAUUUGACCAGGGAAUAGGAGAAUUCCCACUACCGCUGACAGGCCAGCCGUGCCGUGAGCGCGGCGGGAACGGGCUUCCCAAGAAGCCAGCCCAGGCCGGGGUCAGCAUAGAAUGAAGGGGAUGGCCAUAAUCUUGUGUUGGCUUUGCCAACUUAUUGGGUUGCGGGCGGAGAAAAGCAGGAGUAGAUCCCGCAUCCAACCAAGUCUUUGACCAGUGAACGGGAGAAUUCCCAUUACCGCUGGCAGGCCAGCCGGGCUGUGAGCGCUGCAGGAAAGGGCUUCCCAAGAAGCUAGCCCGGGCCGGGGUCAGCAUAGAAUGAAGGGGACGACCCUAAUCUUGUGUUGGCUUUGCCAACUUAUUGGGUUGCGGGCGGAGAAAAGUGGACGUGGGGACUCGGGUCGCGGCGCAACGUAACUAAGAGAGCCAUUCCAUUUAGGGCAAGACAAAAUGGGCGGGCACGGGCGGUCUGGUGUCCGAGCCGAUUGGUCAGACGACGACUACUUCACUUAUUAUUUUAGUAUUAGCCGCCUAUCCCGGAAUGGAAUGGGAUGGAAUAGAAAGAAUGCGAAGCGCUAGCGCUACAAGGUCGGUUUUUUGGGGAGAUAGGCUUGUGAAGAAGCAAGCUUAUCCCCGCCCUGACCGGCAGUUGGUAGGUUUCCCCAUCUCUUCUGAUCUUCCCCCGGUGUUUGGCCCGAGCUGUAUGAGGCAAAAACUCAUCCCACGUACGGUUCGGAGGCCGAGCCCCACCCCAGCAGUAAGGGUGCAGCUUAGGUCAACUAACACAAAAAAGAUACAGUUCACUCAACGAUUGCCUUUGGGUUCCGAACUCCAUAUGGGGAAGGAGCGUUGUUGUUUGCGAGGUCUUGAUCAUUUACAUGGACCCACUUUUCAUUCCAUUUGUGGGAAUUUGAUGAUCUAUAAACCGUCCCUAACGAGCGAUCGGCUCAUGUUUGAGCAUGAUGAAUCACUUCGUGCCGACCUGUUGCCAAUCCACUUUCCGGCCUCAUAUGACUUUUGUUUGAGCAUGAUGAAUCACUUCGUGCCGACCUGUUGCCAAUCCACUUUCUGGCCUCAUUUGAGAAUGGAAAACUGGAGCAUUUUUUCCAUCAGUGGAUGAAGAAUCGCAAACAUAAUAAGUUCUAGUUGACCAUGUUCCAAGAAAAAAGAUACUUUCG
rnacentral:lncRNA from 1 species